UGGUGGCGACCGGCGCACGGGUGCGUAACGCGUAUGCAACCUACCUUUAACAGGGGGAUAACACUGAGAAAUUGGUACUAAUACCCCAUAAUAUCAUAGAAGGCAUCUUUUAUGGUUGAAAAUUCCGAUGGUUAGAGAUGGGCAUGCGUUGUAUUAGCUAGUUGGUGGGGUAACGGCUCACCAAGGCGACGAUACAUAGGGGGACUGAGAGGUUAACCCCCCACACUGGUACUGAGACACGGACCAGACUCCUACGGGAGGCAGCAGUGAGGAAUAUUGGUCAAUGGACGCAAGUCUGAACCAGCCAUGCCGCGUGCAGGAUGACGGCUCUAUGAGUUGUAAACUGCUUUUGUACGAGGGUAAACGCAGAUACGUGUAUCUGUCUGAAAGUAUCGUACGAAUAAGGAUCGGCUAACUCCGUGCCAGCAGCCGCGGUAAUACGGAGGAUUCAAGCGUUAUCCGGAUUUAUUGGGUUUAAAGGGUGCGUAGGCGGUUUGAUAAGUUAGAGGUGAAAUUUCGGGGCUCAACCCUGAACGUGCCUCUAAUACUGUUGAGCUAGAGAGUAGUUGCGGUAGGCGGAAUGUAUGGUGUAGCGGUGAAAUGCUUAGAGAUCAUACAGAACACCGAUUGCGAAGGCAGCUUACCAAACUAUAUCUGACGUUGAGGCACGAAAGCGUGGGGAGCAAACAGGAUUAGAUACCCUGGUAGUCCACGCAGUAAACGAUGAUAACUCGUUGUCGGCGAUACACAGUCGGUGACUAAGCGAAAGCGAUAAGUUAUCCACCUGGGGAGUACGUUCGCAAGAAUGAAACUCAAAGGAAUUGACGGGGGCCCGCACAAGCGGAGGAACAUGUGGUUUAAUUCGAUGAUACGCGAGGAACCUUACCCGGGCUUGAAAGUUAGCGACGAUUCUUGAAAGAGGAUUUCCCUUCGGGGCGCGAAACUAGGUGCUGCAUGGUUGUCGUCAGCUCGUGCCGUGAGGUGUCGGGUUAAGUCCCAUAACGAGCGCAACCCCUACCGUUAGUUGCCAUCAGGUGAAGCUGGGCACUCUGGCGGGACUGCCGGUGUAAGCCGAGAGGAAGGUGGGGAUGACGUCAAAUCAGCACGGCCCUUACGUCCGGGGCUACACACGUGUUACAAUGGUAGGUACAGAGGGCAGCUACCCAGCGAUGGGAUGCGAAUCUCGAAAGCCUAUCUCAGUUCGGAUUGGAGGCUGAAACCC
rnacentral:rRNA from 1 species